AUUUGUGUUCAUUGGAUUGCUUUCAUUUGGAUUACUUUUCUGACGAAAACGAUGAAUAAACUGGUGAUUUGCGCAUUUGCCGUCAUUGCAAUGGCUGUCCUUGUUACCGCCGAGGAAAUCCAAGGAGAGGGCUUCCACGGUCACUUCGAUCAGCAUGGUUACAAGGUCUCUAUUGAGCACCAACCUCACGGUCAUGAGCAUCAUCAUCAUGGCGGGCAUGGGCACAGUGAACGUUAUUUCCACAUUCAGCACAAUGAACACCAUCAUCAUGGACAUCAGGGAUACGAAUAAACUGACACUAAAGAAUUAAAAACAAGUGACAGCAAGAAAUACGGAGAAUAUUUAAGCUAACAAUUGGACAACGGCAUUCUGGUUUGCGGAUAAUAAUUCAGCAACGAAUUUUAUUGCUGUUAUAAUGC